GUCCCGGUCCUUUUCAGGACCAUCGAAAUUAGUUCCACAAGAGUUAU
rfam:Aedes albopictus isolate Foshan contig180922, whole genome shotgun sequence.